rnacentral:lncRNA from 1 species
GUCCUGCCUGUGGCCUGCAGCCUGGGGUGUAAAAGUCAAAGUUGGAGAAUGUGUUGGUGGCAGCUGGGACAGGAGUCCCCCAGGCUGAACACCCCAAGAGGGUCAAGGUCCCCAGCUCUGGUCUGAGUGGCUGCUGGCCUCUGGGGAGCCUUGCCCUCUCUGGACCUGGGAUUCCUUAGUUGUAAAAAGCAAUUGGAACAGUUCAGCAGCUCUGAAGCUUACCCUUUCCUCCCACCAAAUCUCACUGGAAAGAAUAAAGAGGGUUGUGUUGGGAUGGGGGGGUCACACCAGCCCCUGCCCAGGGCCCUCCGCAGCUCCAAGCUCCUUGCUGCCUGAGCCGAGGCUGGCCCAGGAGCUGCGUCAAAGCCGCCAAGGUGUACGGGAUGGAGCGUGGGUGCUGCACGAGGAGCCCAACUACUGCGGCCGCAUGGUCCUGCUGGAGCGCGGCGACUUGGGCGGCUUCUCCGACUGGGAGGCGCACAGCGGCCGCGUGCAGUCGCUGCGCCGGGUCGUCAACUUCUUCUAGCCGCAGGGACGGCGACCGCGGCAAUAAAGGGCUUCUGAAGAGAACUUCGGCCCUGGACUCCUGAGUGAGGUCUGUGAACGUGGGGACCCUGGAGGCGUCUGCUCCGUGCACCAGACCAAAGCCCGGCUGGAUGAGGAGUCAGAUCGCCCAUAGCCUUGUGCCUGAGUCAAGGCUCCGGGUUCAGCUUUCUAACCCAGACGGGAUCCCCCGCCCCACACCCCACCCGGGCUGGGAAUCAAACGCAGACCUACAUCUUCAGCCCUCGCACCCCGGCUCAUUCAUUAAACUAUGUGUCCAAGGGAACCACCAUCCCCAGAGAGGCUCCGUUCCUUGUCUUCCAGCCUUCCCGCCUCCCUAGGGAAGCUGUAUCUCCCUGCUUUGGUCCAAUUUUCCAUGUAGGAUUUCCGGAGACACCACAUAGAUCAUGUGAUGGGAGACGUGGCGAGGGUUUUGAGUAGGUGAAGGGGGCCGAUUGGAAAUGAAGUAGAAUAAAAAGAAGGUAAAAAGGUGACAAGGAAAUCGAGAUUUUAAAAUUGUACUUUUAGGAAAAACUGCAGCUAAGGACCCUCGUCUAUAACCUCAGUACCUUUUAAAUAUCCACAAUACCCACAAUACCCACAGUACCUUAAAAGAGUCAGUCAGUCUCCCGAGUGACAGCUGUCCAAUCAGCUGACCAACCCCUCUGGCCUCCAAGGCGAGCAGCAUCCAGCUGGCCUGGGCCUCAGGGUGUCACAAUCCUUUCCCCACAGUUGACGUCAAGGAUGACACAAUGGGACAUUUACUGAGCGUUGACUUUAUUCCAGGCUCAUGGAUGGAAUCCAUGUGAUGAUACUUAGUAUGUUAUGUAGUGACACUACCCUAGUCACUUUCCUCAUUGCUAGAACAAAAUAAGGAAAGCUUUAUUUUAGCUCACAUUUCAGUCCAUGGUUAGCCAGCUCCAAGGCAGAACGGCACCUCAGAGGAGCCUGGCAGAGGAGAGCUGCUCACAGCAUGGUAGACAGGACGCAGACGGUGAAGGAGGGAGCCAGGGAGGGAGAUGCACCCUUCCAGGCCAGGUCCGCACCAACCUGACCCUUCCAACCAGAGCCCACCUCCUACCAGCGAUCAGCUGUAAGCCCCCAUAUCCAUUCACCUUCCGAAAGCCCCACCUAUGAGCGCAUGAGGCUCCUGGGGAACGUCUAGAAAUGAACCAUAAUGGACACCAUGAUUGUGACACACUUAUUAUUGUCACUGUACAAAUGUGAACUAGACACAGGCAAGGUUCCAACCCAGGCCUGGCAGGGCCCUGUGUUUCUAUAUUGCACAGGACAUUCACACGCAGCAGGAUAUGUGGCACAAAUGUGGUGCUAACGAAAACCCUUGCAAGACUCAGACCCUUCUUCCUGACACAAGUGCAACCACACCUGCUGUACCCACUUGUAAAGGCAUUGUCACCCAUGCAGAGUUGCUACGUGAGGCUUGGUUGUUAGUAGUGAGUGACCCAGUGCCUGGGAGGAGAAGCGGGGAGGGGCAUGGCGCUUAGAGGUUAAUCGGAUUCAGGACUAACACCAGAUGUGACUUGGUCAAGCCAUUGUGCCAUGCCUUAGUGUCCCUGGGCGUCUAGUGGGAUAAUAAUACAGUACUACCAUCCUGGGAAUGAAUUUCCGGGAACCAAAUGAGAAUCAACAGUCUGCUCUCUUCCCAGCUCCCAGGAAUAGCAGCACCUCUUUAUCGGGUGAUUUAAUGCUUUGGGCAUUGAGGUCCUGGGUGACCUCCUCUUCCUCCUCCUCAGCAGUAAUGUCAGAAAUCUGCUUUUGGUCUGAAAGAAGAAAAACAAGAUUCUCACCACAGGGCUCAUGGCAGGCUUGUAAUUUAUCUGAAGUCCAUCCAGGGGGUCAGUGGACCGAGGGUGAGGGCGGCUUAGAGCUGCGUGUUUCACAUAUUUCUGUCUCCACUCUGGUUUGGAAAGCUGGAGUUUUCAAAAGCUGUGUCCUUGUGUCCUUAGCCCUGAGUCACUGUGCCCUGCCGGAACUCUGCCCAUUGGGGACCCACAAAUGCUGUUUAUCAGCCCAGUCUGACUCCAGGGACUACGUGGCCUUUAAGCCCAGGCAGAUGUUUCUCAACAGCCAGGCCUGUUCAUCCCUCCCAUUUCUGGACCUCCAGGUGCACAGCUACUGGGGUCCCCUGUCCCCUUUCCUGCUGUGACCUCAGGCUAUGGCUUCCUUAUCCCUCAGGGCAGGAUGCUUCAGAAGAGGACUAUGCCCAGUUGUAUUGUUGACCCCUCAAGAAGCCAUCAGAGAUGUUCAAUCAAAACUUGUUGAAAAAGAGGGGUUUUUGUUGUUUUGUUUUUUAUCAUUGUUGUUGUUAAUUGGUUUUUUGAGAUGGGGCCUCACUAUGUAGUUCAGGCUGGCCUUAAACUCACACAGAUCCUCCUGCCUCAGCCUCCUGAGUGCUGGAAUUACAGGCCUGGGCCACUAUACCUGGCUGAAUGAGUUUUUAAAAUCACGUGUAGCUCAGUGGUAGAGUGCUUGCCUAGUAUGUGCAAGGCCCUGGGUUCCAUCCCGGGCACUGCAAAGAAAUAAAUGAAUGGGCCGGGGAUUUAGCUCAGUGGUUUCGCCACCUGCUGUGCAAGUGCAAGGACCUGAAUUUGAUCCCCGGUACCAAAAAAAAAAAAAAAAAAGAAAUAACAAACUAGAGGGUUUUUUUUGGUUUCGUUUUUGUUUUUUUUUUUUUUGAGACAAGGUCUUGAUAUGUAGUUCAGGCUGAACUUGAACUCACUUUGUAGCCAAGGCUGGCCUAGAACUUCCAGCUAUCCUCCCACCUCAGCCUCCUGAGUUCUGGGACUACAGGCGUGGGGCACCACACCCAGCUAAACUCUGGAGUUUUAGUUGGGGAAGAUCAAAUUCUGGAGUUGGGUGGUGGUGACAGUCACAUAGCAGUGUGAAUGUACCUGGUACCCCCGCACAGUGCCUGAUGCAGACAGUGAAUUUUAUGUUAUGUGGAUAUUGCUGAAUACACAUUUUAUUAUUUAUUUAUUAUUUAUUUAUUUUUGAGACAGGAUUUCACUGUGUAGUUCAGGCUGGCCUUGAAUUUGCAGCGAUCCUCUUGCCUCACUCAGCCUCCUAUGUUGGGAUUACAGAUGUGUGCCACAAUCCAGACUAUUGAACCUAAAAAUUGAGCUCCCCUUCCGGGGAGAUGCUCAGGGCUGUUAGCAGGUGGUCUGGAUACAGAAGACCCACUCUGGAUUUUCCUAGGGAAACUUGCAGGUCUUACUGCCCGACAACUGCCCAGACACCUGCCCUACAACUCUUCCCCUGUCAUUUGUCACCUUCUUAUUGAUCUUGGUGGCUCCCACCAAAUCCAUUGAUUGCAGAGCUGAACUCCCAGGGAGACUGAGCAAGGCCACUUGCGAGCCCAGAGCCUGGGGCACCUGGGCCCAGCCCUUCCCCACACCUGGUUGCUAGGGAAGCCUCCUCCUCCCUGAAGGUUUAUAAACAGCUUCUGGGCUUCCCUGCUGUCUGUCUGAAGCAAUGGGACAGAGGCAGCUGCAGCCUCUCUUUCUGACCCUGGUGGGGGUGGAGGUGCUCCCUGGAGCAGGUUGUGGGAGUGUGUGGCAGGCUAGGCAGUGCUAGUAGAGACCUGCCGGGCCAGCCGGGAUUUAGCUCAGUGAUUCUGCCACCUGCCUCAAAGCCCAAGGUCCCAAGUUCCAUCUCUGGUACCAAAAUAAAUAAAUAAAUAAAUAAAUAAAUAAAUAAAUAAAUAAAUAAAUAUA